rnacentral:rRNA from 1 species
CACCAGACUCCUACGGGAGGCAGCAGUGGGGGAUAUUGCGCAAUGGGGGAAACCCUGAUGCAGCGACGCCGCGUGAGUGAAGAAGUAUUUCGGUAUGUAAAGCUCUCUCAGCAGGGACGAAAAUGACGGUACCUGAGUAAGAAGCCCCGGCUAACUACGUGCCAGCAGCCGCGGUAAUACGUAGGGGGCAAGCGUUAUCCGGAUUUACUGGGUGUAAAGGGAGCGUAGACGGCAGCACAAGUCUGGAGUGAAAUGCCGGGGCUUAACCCCGGAACUGCUUUGGAAACUGUGCAGCUAGAGUGCAGGAGAGGUAAGUGGAAUUCCUAGUGUAGCGGUGAAAUGCGUAGAUAUUAGGAGGAACACCAGUGGCAAAGGCGGCUUACUGGACUGUAACUGGCGUUGAGGCGCGAAAGCGUGGGUAGCGAACGGGAUUAGAUACCCUCGUAA